rnacentral:tRNA from 1 species
GUUAAUGUAGCUUAAGAUUAAAGCAAGGCACUGAAAAUGCCUAGAUGAGUGCCUUCACUCCAUAAACA